GAGAGGUGGCUGAGUGGUUGAAGGCGCACGCCUGGAAAGCGUGAUUACUCGCAAGGGUAACGAGGGUUCGAAUCCCUCCCUCUCC
rnacentral:tRNA from 1 species